CGGCCCUAGCCUUGGCUUCAGAAUGAGUCACAUCCUAUUUGUGGCCACAGAGCUCAGAUGCCAUCAAGAUUCUUUAAAAACAUUCUCAAAGGGGACUUGGCAUUUCCAACAAAGGCUGAAGAAGGUCUGUUGGGGAAAGGGUGGGACGUUCAUUCCUGGCACCGGGUCCCACUGUUGCAAAGUUCCCAGAGCCUCUGUUUACCACCUGGAAGAUCCUGAAGGUGCUGUGAGAAUGAAAUGGAGCCAAGCUGCAGAAGCCUUUUCCCGGUGCCUCAGAUGUGACACUUCAUGCCUGUCCGGUCUCCCCAGACCUGGCCAAAGUCUGCCCAGCGCCUCUCCUCUGGAAGCCUUUGAAGGCCCCUUCCUGGAAGGCUGGAUUGUGUCAGAGACCAAGAAUGGUGCGCAGCACUGGACAGUUCCUACCCAGGCAUCUAGACACAGAUAAACAAUACACAUUUAAGUAUCCCUUCACCACCCAGACGUUGGACAGAGGCCACCAUGAAGUUUCCAACAGACGUGACAGGUGAACUUGCCAAAGACCAUUUGUCAGCUACAGCCAGGGGCUUGAUAAUUUGAGCACGGGCCGGC
rnacentral:lncRNA from 1 species